CCUUGGAUGAACUAGCAUGCGAGUCAUUGUAGUAAUACAAGGCAGACGGCUCAGUAACGCGUAGUCAAUCUACCCUAUGGACGAGGAUAACCUCGGGAAACUGAGAAUAAUACUCGAUAGAACACUAUGCCUGGAAUGGUUUGUGUUUGAAAUGAUUUAUCGCCGUAGGAUGGGACUGCGGCCUAUCAGUUUGUUGGUGAGGUAAUGGCCCACCAAGACUAUUACAGGUACGGGCUCUGAGAGGAGUGGCCCGGAGAUGGGUACUGAGACACGGACCCAGGCCCUAUGGGGCGCAGCAGGCGAGAAAACUUUGCAAUGUGCGAAAGCACGACAAGGUUAAUCCGAGUGGUUUCUGCUAAAGAAACCUUUUGCCAGUCCUAGAAACACUGGUGAAUAGGGGGUGGGCAAGUUCUGGUGUCAGCCGCCGCGGUAAAACCAGCACCUCAAGUGGUCAGGAUGAUUAUUGGGCCUAAAGCAUCCGUAGCUCGUUUUGUAAGUUUUCGGUUAAAUCCAUACGCUCAACGUAUGGGCUGCCGGGAAUACUGCAUAACUAGGAAGUGGGAGAGGUAGACGGUACUCGAUAGGAAGGGGUAAAAUCCUUUGAUCUAUUGAUGACCACCUGUGGCGAAGGCGGUCUACCAGAACACGUUCGACGGUGAGGGAUGAAAGCUGGGGGAGCAAACCGGAUUAGAUACCCGGGUAGUCCCAGCUGUAAACUAUGCAAACUCAGUGAUGCAUUGGCUUGUGGCCAAUGCAGUGCUGCAGGGAAGCCGUUAAGUUUGCCGCCUGGGAAGUACGUACGCAAGUAUGAAACUUAAAGGAAUUGGCGGGGGAGCACCACAAGGGGUGAAGCCUGCGGUUCAAUUGGAGUCAACGCCGGGAAUC
rnacentral:rRNA from 1 species